rnacentral:rRNA from 1 species
AGAGUUUGAUCAUGGCUCAGGAUGAACGCUGGCGGCGUGCCUAACACAUGCAAGUCGAACGGAGUUAUCGGAGCUUGCUUGAUAACUUAGUGGCGGACGGGUGAGUAAUGUAUGAGCAACCUGCCUUUCAGAGGGGGACAACAGUUGGAAACGACUGCUAAUACCGCAUAAUGUGCGAGGGGGGCAUCCCUUUUGUACCAAAGGAGCAAUCCGCUGAAAAGAUGGGCUCAUAUCUGAUUAGUUAGUUGGCAGGGUAACGGCCUACCAAGACUGCGAUCAGUAGCCGGACUGAGAGGUUGAACGGCCACAUUGGGACUGAGAUACGGCCCAGACUCCUACGGGAGGCAGCAGUGGGGAAUAUUGGGCAAUGGGCGAAAGCCCUGACCCAGCAACGCCGCGUGAAGGAAGAAGGUCUUCGGAUUGUAAACUUCUUUUAUGAGGGACGAAGGACGUGACGGUACCUCAUGAAUAAGCCACGGCUAACUACGUGCCAGCCGCGGC